rnacentral:rRNA from 1 species
AAUCGUCUGAACAAGGCCUGCGCUUAAUUGCGCGGCCAGUUCUUGAUCCCUCUGCUAUCAGUUUUCUAUUUCUCAUCCUAAACACAAUGGAGUUUUUUCUCUAUGAACUACUUCCCUGGAGAGCUCGUCUCUCCAGUGGACAUAAACACAAACAAUAUUUUGUAUUAUGAAAAACUAUUAUACUAUAAAAUUUAAUAUUCAAAACUUUCAACAACGGAUCUCUUGGUUCUCGCAUCGAUGAAGAACGCAGCGAAUUGCGAUAUGUAUUGUGAAUUGCAGAUUUUCGUGAAUCAUCAAAUCUUUGAACGCACAUUGCGCCCUCUGGUAUUCCAGGGGGCAUGCCUGUUUGAGCGUCAUUUCUCUCUCAAACCUUUGGGUUUGGUAGUGAGUGAUACUCGUCUCGGGUUAACUUGAAAGUGGCUAGCCGUUGCCAUCUGCGUGAGCAGGGCUGCGUGUCAAGUCUAUGGACUCGACUCUUGCACAUCUACGUCUUAGGUUUGCGCCAAUUCGUGGUAAGCUUGGGUCAUAGAGACUCAUAGGUGUUAUAAAGACUCGCUGGUGUUUGUCUCCUUGAGGCAUACGGCUUUAACCAAAACUCUCAAAGUUUGACCUCAAAUCAGGUAGGAGUACCCGCUGAACUUAAGCAUAUCAAUAA